UGACAUGACUUAUAGCAAGAACAACGGACGACUGAGAGACAAAUUUUGAUUCGUUUCUGAAUAUAUAUCAACAGGUGAUGCCAUGCGAUGUUUUGAGUGUCAGAACAUUCCAUCUCCACAAAACUGUUCAAAAGUUAUAGAAUGCAGUGCCGACCAGUAUUGUUUCACAGAGCAACUUGUAACAGCUGGUGGAAAUUUCAUAUUUAACACAGGAUGUCUUCACUAUUCGAGUUGCUCUCCUACCGGCAUAGUCCUAAUUGGGAAAAGGUUGGAGAAUAAUUUACGACGUUCCACUGACGUCAGAACAUGCAUUGAAUGCUUCAACAACGAUUUUUGCAAUAAGAAUGGUUGCGGAACAAGCGGUAAAUUA